ACUCCUACGGGAGGCAGCAGUGGGGAAUAUUGCACAAUGGGCGAAAGCCUGAUGCAGCAACGCCGCGUGCGGGAAGAAGGCCCUAGGGUUGUAAACCGCUUUCAGCAGGGAAGAAAAUGACGGUACCUGCAGAAGAAGGUGCGGCCAACUACGUGCCAGCAGCCGCGGUGACACGUAGGCACCAAGCGUUGUCCGGAUUUAUUGGGCGUAAAGAGCUCGUAGGCGGUUCAGUAAGUCGGGUGUGAAAACUCUGGGCUCAACCCAGAGACGCCACCGAUACUGCUGUGACUUGAGUACGGUAGGGGAGCGGGGAAUUCCGUGGUGUAGCGGUGAAAUGCGCAGAUAUCAGGAGGAACACCAGUGGCGAAGGCGCCGCUCUGGGCCGAAACUGACGCUGAGGAGCGAAAGCGUGGGUAGCAAACA
rnacentral:rRNA from 1 species